CCGGACUCGGUUUGAUUGAGCCUGUUCGUGGACUGUAGUGGAAAUCCAUACUACCGCUCACGCCCUCUAGCCCGAGUUGUGUUCAUACGGCAUUGUACAUGGAACCUUGACUAAUACACUAGCAUGCAGUUCCAUGAAAGCGAGGUAUGGUCCCCAUAUAAAAUAUUGGACUAGCAGUAAACUAGAAAACAAAUGACAAAAAUAAACAAAUAGCAUUUAAUAGGAGAUCCGGGAUUAUAGAGCCUGCAUAUCACAUAAACUGUAAAAAAAAAGAGUUAAAAA